rnacentral:rRNA from 1 species
AACGAACGCUGGUAGCGUGGAUUAGGCAUGCAAGUCGAACGGGAUCCGGAAGGUAGCAAUAUCGUCCGGUGAGAGUGGCGGAAGGGCGAGGAACGCGUGGACAACCUGUCCAGUGGGACGGGGAAAACUCCGGGAAACUGGAGCUAAUACCCGAUACGGUCGCGGAGCGGCAUCGCUUCAGCGGCAAAGGGGGCGCCGCAAGGGCUCCCGCCAACGAGGGGUCCGCGUAUCAUCAGCUUGUUGGCGGGUAACGGCCACCAAGGCUUACGAUUAGCUGGUCUGAGAGGAUGGCCAGCCGCACUGGGACUGAGAUACUGCCCAGACUCCUACGGGAGGCUGCAGUCGAGGAUCAUUCGCAAUGGGGGAAACCCUGGACGAUGCGACGCUGCGUGGAGGAAUGAAGGCCUUCGGGUUGUAAACUCCCGUCAUGAGGGAAAAGGCGAGAGUACCCAACACGUACUUUAGUUGAUGGUACCUCAAGAGGAAGCGACGGCUAACUCUGUGCCAGCCGCUGC